rnacentral:rRNA from 1 species
GAUGAACGCUGGCGGCGUGCCUAAUACAUGCAAGUCGAGCGAACAGACGAGGAGCUUGCUCCUCUGACGUUAGCGGCGGACGGGUGAGUAACACGUGGAUAACCUACCUAUAAGACUGGGAUAACUUCGGGAAACCGGAGCUAAUACCGGAUAAUAUAUUGAACCGCAUGGUUCAAUAGUGAAAGACGGUUUUGCUGUCACUUAUAGAUGGAUCCGCGCCGCAUUAGCUAGUUGGUAAGGUAACGGCUCACCAAGGCAACGAUGCGUAGCCGACCUGAGAGGGUGAUCGGCCACACUGGAACUGAGACACGGUCCAGACUCCUACGGGAGGCAGCAGUAGGGAAUCUUCCGCAAUGGGCGAAAGCUUGACGGAGCAACGCCGCGUGAGUGAUGAAGGUCUUCGGAUCGUAAAACUCUGUUAUUAGGGAAGAACAAAUGUGUAAGUAACUAUGCACGUCUUGACGGUACCUAAUCAGAAAGCGACGGCUAACUACGUG